rnacentral:rRNA from 1 species
AUGAGUACAUCUCUUCCUCCUCUCCUCCUGGAGCGACCGCUGGCGUUAGUCUUUUGGCUUGGGCAGCAGAAUGAGCCUCUCCUCCUCGAGCGACCGCUGGCGUUGCACGCCGCGCAUGGCGUUCUUGGCGAACCUCGACACGAGGAACGCUGUCGUGAUCUGGCUCGACGACGACGCAGACGCCAUCUCGGCGGCGUACAUCUCUUCCUCCUCUCGCCUCCGUUGCUCUGCCGCCUUCCGCUUCUCGUACCUCCUCCACGCGGCCUGGAUGAAGCACGACGCCCAGGUGCGCCACUGCUGCGAGUAGAACCUGAAGGUCUGCUGCAAUUGCUUGCUGUGCAGGCGCCGGAACUGCCCCGCGACGAACUUAAGCUCAUCGGCGUGCAACGCGAAGCCCUCCACCUCGGAGAGCGCCUUGACACUACGAGUGGACAGCGGCAGGUUCGCCGCAGCCUUUGGGUCCAGCGCCCAUGUGAGGAGCUCCUCGCCGCAGAAGUCCCCUUCCUUGAGGAGCCCCUUGUUGAAGAACCCCGUGCGGCCCCCGUCGGUGGUGGAGCUCUCGAGCCGGCCUCUGAUGAUGAAGAGCAUCUCGUCGACGGGCUCCCCUUCCCGCACCACGUAGGUGGUCUCCGUGCACAGGCUGGGCUUGAGCCUCUCGCAGAUGGCGUCGAGGAGGCGCUCGUCCAUGUUGGCGAAGAGCGGCACGCGACGGACGAGGCGGAGGCAGAGGUGGCGCUUGACGUCCCGCCGGAUGUCCUUGGGGAGGCAGCUCACGAGGCCGUCCUCGUCCACGCCCCGCGUCUCCAGCCACUUGUACUGGUUGUGUCGCCACACACGCUCCCGGAGGUCAUCGGGGAGGUGGCGGUGGCGCAUCCACUCCUCCGAGUCCCGCCGCUUGAGCCGCAUCUCCUCCAUACGCAGAGUCAUGGACUGGAGGUACGUCUGCAUGUUGCCGAUGAGCAGCGCCAUGAGGAUGAGGCCGAAGACGGCGAGGAUGAUGGCGAAAAGGGCCUCCCCCUUGUAGUGCGUGGUCUCCAGCCCCUGGGCGCCGCUGCUGAGGUUCUGGAGACCCCACCACAGGCAGUAGAGAAUCUUCGGGACGAGAUCAUUAGUGUGGGUGACCCCUGA